GACGAACCGAGCGAACGUUGUUCGGAAUCACUGGGCUUAAAGGGCGCGUAGGCGGGCUGUCAAGUCUGGGGUGAAAUCCCGCGGCUCAACCGUGGAACUGCCGGGCAUACUGGCGAUCUUGAGGCAUUCAGGGGCGAGCGGAACAAAUGGUGGAGCGGUGAAAUGCGUAGAUAUCAUUUGGAACGCCAAUGGUGAAAACAGCUCGCUGGGAAUGAUCUGACGCUGAGACGCGAAAGCCAGGGAGCGAACGGG
rnacentral:rRNA from 1 species